ACCCCAUGCAGUCGAACGGCAGCACAGUAAGAGCUUGCUCUUAUGGGUGGCGAGUGGCGGACGGGUGAGGAAUACAUCGGAAUCUACUUUUUCGUGGGGGAUAACGUAGGGAAACUUACGCUAAUACCGCAUACGACCUACGGGUGAAAGCAGGGGAUCUUCGGACCUUGCGCGAUUGAAUGAGCCGAUGUCGGAUUAGCUAGUUGGCGGGGUAAAGGCCCACCAAGGCGACGAUCCGUAGCUGGUCUGAGAGGAUGAUCAGCCACACUGGAACUGAGACACGGUCCAGACUCCUACGGGAGGCAGCAGUGGGGAAUAUUGGACAAUGGGCGCAAGCCUGAUCCAGCCAUACCGCGUGGGUGAAGAAGGCCUUCGGGUUGUAAAGCCCUUUUGUUGGGAAAGAAAUCCAGCCGGCUAAUACCUGGUUGGGAUGACGGUACCCAAAGAAUAAGCACCGGCUAACUUCGUGCCAGCAGCCGGGGGUAAUACA
rnacentral:rRNA from 1 species